rnacentral:tRNA from 1 species
UUCCCUAGCAGUCCAGUGGUUAAGACUCUGCGCUUCCACUGCAGAGGACAUGGGUUUGAUCCCUGAUAGGGGAG